ACGGGGCCCGCACAAGCGGUGGAGCAUGUGGUUUAAUUCGAUGCAACGCGAAGAACCUUACCUGGGCUUGACAUCCCGGGAAUCCCUUGGAAACAAGGGAGUGCCCUUCGGGGAACCUGGAGACAGGUGCUGCAUGGCUGUCGUCAGCUCGUGUCGUGAGAUGUAGGGUUAAGUCCCGCAACGAGCGCAACCCUUGUCUUUAAUUGCCAUCAUUGAGUUGGGCACUUUAAAGAGACUGCCGGUGUUAAACCGGAGGAAGGUGGGGAUGACGUCAAGUCCUCAUGGCCUUUAUGCCCAGGGCUACACACGUGCUACAAUGGGUGGUACAAAGAGCAGCCAGCUCGCGAGAGUGAGCAAAUCUCAAAAAGCCAUCCUCAGUUCGGAUUGCAGUCUGCAACUCGACUGCAUGAAGUUGGAAUCGCUAGUAAUCGCUGAUCAGCAGGCAGCGGUGAAUACGUUCCCGGGCCUU
rnacentral:rRNA from 1 species